rnacentral:tRNA from 3 species
GGGCAUCGUGAUGAACGAUCUGGUGUCGUCUGCCGCUCAUAACGGUCUGGUUGCAGGUUCGAGUCCUGCCGGGCCCACCA